rnacentral:rRNA from 1 species
GAUGAACGCUGGCGGCGUGCCUAAUACAUGCAAGUCGAGCGAACGGACGAGAAGCUUGCUUCUUUGAUGUUAGCGGCGGACGGGUGAGUAACACGUGGAUAACCUACCUAUAAGACUGGGAUAACUUCGGGAAACCGGAGCUAAUACCGGCUAAUAUUUUGAACCGCAUGGUUCAAAAGUGAAAGACGGUCUUGCUGUCACUUAUAGAUGGAUCCGCGCUGCAUUAGCUAGUUGGUAAGGUAACGGCUUACCAAGGCAACGAUGCAUAGCCGACCUGAGAGGGUGAUCGGCCACACUGGAACUGAGACACGGUCCAGACUCCUACGGGAGGCAGCAGUAGGGAAUCUUCCGCAAUGGGCGAAAGCCUGACGGAGCAACGCCGCGUGAGUGAUGAAGGUCUUCGGAUCGUAAAACUCUGUUAUUAGGGAAGAACAUAUGUGUAAGUAACUGUGCACAUCUUGACGGUACCUAAUCAGAAAGCCACGGCUAACUACGUG